rnacentral:lncRNA from 1 species
GAAAUAUUACUUUUUUUUUUUUUUAAUUAAGAAGAAAAAGUGCUUGGUGUUCCCAGGUGUAGUUACUGAGCAGCAUGGUUCCAAAGGACAGCAAAAGCACUUUACUGCCUUAGAAGGAGGGGAGGCUUUGCCAGGCCUAUGAAACCCUCAUCUGGAUCUGGCCUCCAGGGCAGCCUCCUGCCUGCCUCUCUGGUGAGGCUCAGCUUCUGCUCUGCCUCACCAGCUCCCCUCCAGUUCCCCUCACUCUGAGGGUGCAGGGAGCAGGGUCCCACGGGAGCAUUGGUGUGAGAGGGAGCUCCCAGCACCGAGGGAGAAGCAGGACUCACUGACCAAACCAUGUGUUUGUGCUGGAAGGGCCUCACUGCAAACAUGCUCAUCUUAUGGAAGAAGAAAGGAGGUUCAGAGAGGGAAAGGCUUGCCUGAGGUCACACGGCCUUCACAAUGAACAGAAAGCUGCAGUUUCCUCCUCUGUAUUCUUUCUCCACUCCCACUCGCCUCAUGUACCCCACUGACCCAGGUAUGAGAAACCCAGCCUGCACCUUCUAUAGCACCACAUGCCUAGACUGAGGAAAGAUCCACAAAUGCCACUCUUCUUCGAAUAGCCUACCUUCAUGAAGUCUCACCAACCCGCUGAAUAUGGACUCCAACGGUGCCCUAGGGGAUGGUGGAGCCACCAGAUGGAAGGAGCCUGGUGAUCCCGAGAAGGAGAGAUGCCUCGCUGACCUGAACAUCUUUCCAGAACUGUUAAAUGAAGCCUGCAGGACACCAGCUGACAGUGGAAGGACUGAGGAAGGUUGUAUAAUUUUGUGCAAGGUCCACCACAAAUCCAGCUGAAGAACUGCUCCAAAGUUUAGGUCAUGGCAAGAACAAGACUGGAUCACUCCAUGUCAGUGGAAACAUGUCCACCAACUUCAUCAUUGUCUGUUGUCAUGGUUCACUUUAGAUGUAAACUUGACUGGAUUAAGGAUUCCCUAAAGUGUCAGGCCUCUGAGCCCAAGCUAAGCCAUCAUAUCCCCUGUGACCUGCAUGUACACAUCCAGAUGGCCGGUUCCUGCCUUAACUGACGACAUUCCACCACAAAAGAAGUGAAAAUGGCCUGUUCCUGCCUUAACUGAUGACAUUAUCUUGUGAAAUUCCUUCUCCUGGCUCAUCCUGGCUCCAAAGCUCCCCCACUGAGCACCUUGUGACCCCCACUCCUGCCCACCAGAGAACAACCCCCUUUGACUGUAAUUUUCCUUUACCUUCCCAAAUCUUAUAAAAUGGCCCCACCCCAUCUCCCUUUGCUGACUUUCUUUUCAGACUCAGCCCUCCUGCAACCAGUUGAUUAAAAGCUUUAUUGCUCAC